CCCCCCUCACUUCACGCUCAGUGCGAGGUUAAACACAAGCUGAAAUACAGUACCGAAGACCUCAGAAAGGGCAUUUCCACUUGGUUAAAAAUGCUUCAUCUAACCCGCAUGAUGUUUAACCUCACCAUAAACCUAUAGUACUUGCACUAAACAUGCUAAACUGCACUCUGAGCCCAGGUUUGCAAAACAAGUCGACUGACGGUUAGUGUUCCCCCUGGUUUGCACGUCGACAUGUGAGGAGUGUCUCAGCAUGUCUGUCAGCUUGUGUCACCAAAGCGAACAGAAAAGGAAAAAAAAGAACCGUAACCAAAGUCUUAGGGUUUUUCAACAAAACUGCAUUUUCCCGCAGUGCCAUGUUCACUGCCAGUGUCAUCAACUGUAAAUAUCUCCUCUGCAAUAUCAGAAUUUGGCUUCCUGAAAACAAACCACUAUCUUGCACAACAGCUUGUUGAUGAAUGCCUGAACCCGAUGUUAUGUUCCAGCAGCAUUCUUAACUGCUAUGCCGAUUAUUACCUAUUCAUCUUUCAGGCUAAAACUUUGACUCUGGGAUAAACGAUUGUGUGUGUUUUUGAAAGAAGCUGCCAUCUCUUACUUCAAGGCUUUGGCUUGUAAUUCUUGAGGGGGGAACAGCUUUCUUACAUGAACAGCGAAGGUGAAGGCUUUACUCCGCAAUUGUCUUGCAUCCCAAAGUGUUUCAGUGACUUGUGCGAUGAUUCCUGAUGUUAUAAAAAAACUUUUAGCAGUGAUGGCGGUCUUCUGACCUCAUGAAAAACCGAGAGCCAUGUCGCCAAGUCCUGAAACAGUGGGCGCAGUAGCUUGUGCAACAAAAACAGGAAAUCAGAAUCCAUACAAGCCGGGGUUAUGAUAGCUAGCUGGGCAGAUCUGCAGCGAACGAUCGCGAAACCAUUCUGUCACCACGCCAUGCUGCUUCUUAGACGGUUUUUAUAAGCAGGACGACCCGAAAACUGUUAGCGUGUUGAAAGGCUUCAGCAUGUCGUGGGGCAAUAUUUGCCAAUUGUUUCCAAACACGCUUUCUCUCUUCUAACCUCCCUGCCGAGUCAUUGGGGUUGGUGUCAGCACAAAUGACAUUUAAAGGAGAAAAUUGAAGGUGUUAGGCUUCUUUAGAGAUCCAUAUUUGAGUGUUCAGUGAGGGUCUGAAACUUGCAGGUCACUUGAACACUUUUUUUCAUUCAGUUACCGUCCAACUCAUAGGUAUGGAGUGGAAUGAUUCAUCAGUUGUAAAACCAGAUCAAGACACACAAGGGAAAAUGACUGAGUCAGACUCCCGGUCAUUCUGACAUUUUGUUGUUUUGUGUCUUAUAACAGCACUGACAUGCAGCGUGCCAAGUCUCUCCUCUUCUGAGCUAAUACAUCAAGUUCAUAUUCACGUGGCUAUUAUUAAUUUGUCAUUUUAUUUGAAAUGCCACAGCGAAGUAUGAGAGGAGUGGACAGUACAAGUACUGCAGAUCUGGAGAUGAUGUCAAAGCCUGGAAAUGAGGGAGGUGGAAAUUUUGUAGAACCUGUGGAAUAGGCUGGCUGCCGUCCGCCUUACGUCUGCUGCCCUUGCUGCCUUUUUCCCCACCUUGCUCACCCUUCCUGGGCCUCCUCGCCCCUGAGAGGUCAAACGUGUCCACGCCCGGUUGGGCUUGGUGUGUGUGACCUAAAUCGGCACAAUGGUGAACCAUCAGCCUGAGGAAAUUGUGCCUGUUGGGCUUGUUUUGGUGAUUUUUUUACACCUCAGAUUCUAGUGCCGGUAUGCUGACGGUGCCGAGUGACUGUAGAAACAUGAUCUUGGCUAUUUCCUGUUUUAAACAUCAUCACAGGACUAAGGAUAAAUUUAGUUACUCACUGUCUACUCCCUAGUAGUAGCUAAACGAUUCAAGUAUAAUAUGUAUGUAUAAUAAGCUGUCGACUUUUUGUGAUAAAGGGACAUUUAAGAUGUUCUCCUGCAUGCUUGUCAAUUCGUCUGCUUGUCUCUUUUUUUGUUUGAUCCCUUGCUGACAUUUCUGUGCCACUGGCAAGAGGGUCACGACUGUUUGUUAAUGUGUUUCUGGGCUGUCCUGUGUCGCGCCCCAAAGGAACCAGAGGCUCCGGUGAGGCAAGUUACUCCCUGUGAGACACACACAUACACACACACACACACACACACACACACACACACACACUGCGGGUCACGUUAGGCCACGAGAAAAGGAAACAGACCCAACUUACAGGGCAAGGAAACCUUUUUCAGCAAAUCAAGAUAAAACUCUAAAAUAAAAAAAAUGGCUUUUAAAAAGUAUGAACUGCAUUAUGGAUCAAAUGAUUAAUGGCUGAGUGGCUGAAUAUGAUAACGAUGAUAAAUAUUAUCUUUACUAAGCCUUAAGCUGGGUUCAGAUUUCUUAAAGAGCAUUUAAAGAAAUUCUCUCCCUACAGGCACUUUUCUGAAAGGAAAAUAACAUUUCAAGUGGGUGAAGGUCAGCUUGCCCUAACUUUGCUUUCACUAAAAAAGGAAAAUAUACAGAUCAUCUUUAGCUGAAGCAGUGUGAACAUGUCUUUAGUCACGAUCGGCCAAACAGAUCCGAGACUAGUGAGAGAUUUAAAUCAGAAAUGUGUUGUGAUAAGACAGACAGUGUUUCCUGAUUUUCCCCACCAAUUUUCUGGAUCUUGAGAGCCUCCGUGCAGCUGCCUGUCACAUGAAUGCUGCAAUGUGCUGCGAUGUGAAUGGGAGGCCUGUUGGACGCUGCGAGAACGCCAGUACUGCAGGCUGGGCAGUCAUGGCAGGCGUGUGCGCAUGUGCGUGUGUGUCUGCGCAUGGAGGCUGAAGCCUGCUUGUACAGCUGCAACCAGGCCAGUCCAGACAAAUCGGAGCUUGCCGAGCAAGGAUAUGUAUGCGUCUGAGUGGGUGGGGAGGGGCGAGGCCCUCUUGGCGGAAUGCGGAAUCCUGAGUGUGGCAGGACUCUCCUUCACGAUCAGCCAGACAAGUGUCACGAUCUUUAUUGCCUCACACCCAAGGCUGGAGAUGCAGCAUGUUACUGUUGGGGACACCAUGACAUUACACAGUUAAGAAGUACAUACAGAGAAUAAACACAAGACUUGGUAGAAGAUGCACAACGGUGAGGAGCAAAUGCAAGUGAUGGAAAAACUUUCCAUGCCUCCUCCAGCUCAUUUACCGAUUCAAUGGAAAGUGUCCUGGAUUCUUCUACGGGAGAUUUGCUGGAUUACGGCUGCGGUUUCGUAAAGAGAAGGAAAAGCUGUCUUGAAGCACGCACUGGCCCUCUGCUCUCAGCGAAACAUUUGUUCCCCCUGGGAAGCCGCCACAACAAUCACUCAUCUAUCUGAGAAACAAAGCGAUUUCUUGUGUAGGCAAACACAUACUUCGGCUUUGUGAUCGAUUCUCAACAGGACAAGAUUUCCACGUGUUUUUGCUCUGUGGGUGACUGACAUCCCAUCCGGGGUGUUACUCUGCCUUAUACCCGAAACACCCUGAUCAGGCUCAUCUCUCCCUACAACCCUGUACUGCCUGGAAAUUUUCCUCUCAGAAUAUCUAUUUUGUUAAGUAAUCAGCCAGAUUUGUGUAAGUGAUGGUGAAAAUUCGACGGCUUGUUGUUCAGGUCCUGAACUGAUGAUGUGUUCUUUGUUUUCCCAGAAUCUGGGAUGUUUUUUUUUCCCCCCCUUUUCUUUCCUCCAUAAUCUUUAGCGUACUUCAGUAGUGAACCCGUCACACUUCGCCAAAACCCCAUCCAGCAUAAAAAUACGACUACGGCGUUCAUCGAAAUUUGCAUCAUUUGUGUUUUUUGUACCUGUCCCCUAGAUAGCGAGAGUCAGGUGUUCCCUUUAAGCACACGCAGGCACCCAUCCGGGUUCUUGGUGCAGUUCCGUAUGUUGGAUUCCAGAACCACCUGCUGACUGACAGUGACAGGCCAGGUAGACCGCUGCAGUGCAGACCAAAAGAGGUGACGUUACAAGGGCAUGACCUAUAGGUGUCUUUGGACACCUGAGGACGGUGUGUUGAGAAGACAGUCGAUCUCACAGCCAUGCACACAGAUUUUGCUUCCUUCGUUUCUGUUGCAUCACCUGAUUAUAAUGUUAAUCUGUAGUUGUUGCAACUGGAUGUGCAUCCAUGGACUCCUGGCCAUGGGUGGGAUGGGGGACCUGGAGCGUAUCAUAGGUAGCCCAGGCCAAAGGGCAUGACUAUGGAGCACACCAUGGAUGGGAUGCUAGUUCAUCGCAGGACACACACAUGCACAAGCUCUCACACUAUUCAGCUGGUGAUUUUCUGCGUCCUGAGGAUUCGAAUACUCUCACCGCAGCUGGUAAUCUGGCCGUGUGUCAUUAUAUGUGGAUAAACCCAGGGCUCUGUGUGUGUCGGCCUCCUAUGCACGUUUCCCCUGGCUGGACGAUGCCAUGGAGCCAGUGUCGGAAUGGCAGCUGAGGUCAGUAUAGAAUCCAGACGGCGGCCAUGUUGGCCUUCCUCUAUCAAUGACCCACCUAUCCCAUGGUCCACUAGCGUUUCAUCUGGUGGGUGAAACCAGGACAUGUCAUGACAGCACCCAGCCAAGCAUCCAUCCAGCUGGAGACAUUGAAAAUGGGGGGGAUGUGUCUUUCUAUCUUUCAUUAUGAAUCCAUACAUUACUAAGGCCAGUUCGCCAAGCAUGCAGAGCGUGAUGACAAAACUUAUAUUUGACAAAACCAGAUUAUAGUCCUCUGUCAAACUCAUUUUGUCGUAUGGGUCAGUUAUUUUUUAUAUUUAGUAGUAAAGCUGCACCUUAAACAGUGUCAGUCUUAUUUUAAAUUAUGAAAUCUUAAAUAUUCUAAAAUAAUUUUAAAAUCUUUCUUGCAUCACGAUGUGAGUGUUGCAUGUCCAUUGUGAUGUCACAAUAUACGUCACCCUGCCCCACCAUGCUGAGAAAAAUUUGACCCCCCCCCCCCAAUGUCAAACUUCUUACGCCACUACAUCCAACCACACUGAGCCAGCUCUGGCUGCACCUCCCCUGAAUACUAAGGCCCAUCAGUGUAAUUAAUUAGCAUAGCUUAAAAGUACUGGAUUUACAGCAGUGCCACGCAAAGACUUUUUGAGAGGCAUUAAAGGGGCAGUCCGUACAUUUAAAGGGAGGGUCUCUAAACAGACAAAAGGGAUUGGUGCUCAGAUUUGUGAUUAUUAGAAUUUGUUCUUGUAUAUGUUUUGUGACUUUCUUGCGUCUCUUGCUCUGGUUUUGGUGCUUCUCUCAUUGUUGCUCUUAUCGAACUCGUGACCUUCUGCCUGGGUUCGGACAAUGGAUUCAGAUCAAUUUUGGAUUCGGUUUUUUGGUUUGGAUGUACCUGUGCCUGCCCUCUGACAUGCAUAUUUUUGGACUGUGACUCUCAGGCAUUGACUCUGGAAAUAAACAUGGUGUUACCGCAAGUGGAACUUCUCUUGUCUCGUCAUUACAGAGAAAGCAAAAGUCAAUGCGACAUGUUCUGCAUCAAGGGCAAGGCGGAAUCCUCAGUAGCUGCCGCAUUCCAGCCUUCAUCCAUGUUCUGAUCUCUUUCCACAAACUCUUAACAGCGGUUGCAACCACAGCACCUUGUGAUAUUUUUAAAUGUUCCCUAAAUGCUGUUAGCGUUAUGUCUUGUCUUUCGAUUUGAAUAGCUGUCUAAUUAGUUUGUG